GACGAACGCUGGCGGCGUGCUUAACACAUGCGAGUCGAACGGAAAGGCCCUGCUUUUGUGGGGUGCUCGAGUGGCGAACGGGUGAGUAACACGUGAGUAACCUGCCCUUGACUUUGGGAUAACUUCAGGAAACUGGGGCUAAUACCGGAUAGGAGCUCCUGCUGCAUGGUGGGGGUUGGAAAGUUUCGGCGGUUGGGGAUGGACUCGCGGCUUAUCAGCUUGCUGGUGGGGUAGUGGCUUACCAAGGCUUUGACGGGUAGCCGGCCUGAGAGGGUGACCGGCCACAUUGGGACUGAGAUACGGCCCAGACUCCUACGGGAGGCAGCAGUGGGGAAUAUUGCACAAUGGGCGGAAGCCUGAUGCAGCAACGCCGCGUGCGGGAUGACGGCCUUCGGGUUGUAAACCGCUUUCGCCUGUGACGAAGCGUGAGUGACGGUAAUGGGUAAAGAAGCACCGGCUAACUACGUG
rnacentral:rRNA from 1 species